rnacentral:rRNA from 1 species
AUUGAACGCUGGCGGCAUGCCUUACACAUGCAAGUCGAACGGCAGCACGGACUUCGGUCUGGUGGCGAGUGGCGAACGGGUGAGUAAUGUAUCGGAACGUGCCCAGUAGCGGGGGAUAACUACUCGAAAGAGUAGCUAAUACCGCAUACGCCCUACGGGGGAAAGGGGGGGAUCGCAAGACCUCUCACUAUUGGAGCGGCCGAUAUCGGAUUAGCUAGUUGGCGGGGUAAAGGCCCACCAAGGCGACGAUCCGUAGCUGGUUUGAGAGGACGACCAGCCACACUGGGACUGAGACACGGCCCAGACUCCUACGGGGGGCAGCAGUGGGGAAUUUUGGACAAUGGGGGCAACCCUGAUCCAGCCAUCCCGCGUGUGCGAUGAAGGCCUUCGGGUUGUAAAGCACUUUUGGCAGGAAAGAAAUCGCAUGGGUUAAUACCCUGUGUGGAUGACGGUACCUGCAGAAUAAGCACCGGCUAACUACGUGCCAGCAGCCGCGGUAA